rnacentral:rRNA from 1 species
GGACGGGUGAGUAAUGCAUAGGAAUCUGCCCGGUAGUGGGGGAUAACUUGAGGAAACUCAAGCUAAUACCGCAUACGCCCUACGGGGGAAAGCAGGGGCUCUUCGGACCUUGCGCUAUCGGAUGAGCUUAUGUCGGAUUAGCUGGUUGGUGAGGUAACGGCUCACCAAGGCGACGAUCCGUAGCUGGUCUGAGAGGAUGAUCAGCCACAUCGGGACUGAGACACGGCCCGAACUCCUACGGGAGGCAGCAGUGGGGAAUAUUGGACAAUGGGGGCAACCCUGAUCCAGCCAUGCCGCGUGUGUGAAGAAGGCCCUCGGGUUGUAAAGCACUUUCAGCGAGGAAGAAUGCUUGUCGGUUAAUACCCGGCAAGGGAGACAUCACUCGCAGAAGAAGCACCGGCUAACUCCGUGCCAGCAGCCGCGGUAAUACGGAGGGUGCCAAGCGUUAAUCGGAAUUACUGGGCGUAAAGCGUGCGUAGGCGGCUUGAUAAGCCGGUUGUGAAAGCCCCGGGCUCAACCUGGGAACGGCAUCCGGAACUGUUAGGCUAGAGUGCAGGAGAGGAAGGUAGAAUUCCCGGUGUAGCGGUGAAAUGCGUAGAGAUCGGGAGGAAUACCAGUGGCGAAGGCGGCCUUCUGGACUGACACUGACGCUGAGGUACGAAAGCGUGGGUAGCAAACAGGAUUAGAUACCCUGGUAGUCCACGCCGUAAACGAUGUCGACUAGCCGUUGGGGUCCUCGAGACCUUUGUGGCGCAGUUAACGCACUAAGUCGACCGCCUGGGGAGUACGGCCGCAAGGUUAAAACUCAAAUGAAUUGACGGGGGCCCGCACAAGCGGUGGAGCAUGUGGUUUAAUUCGAUGCAACGCGAAGAACCUUACCUACCCCUUGACAUCGUGCGAACUUUCCAGAGAUGGAUUGGUGCCUUCGGGAGCGCACAGACAGGUGCUGCAUGGCUGUCGUCAGCUCGUGUUGUGAAAUGUUGGGUUAAGUCCCGUAACGAGCGCAACCCUUGUCCCUAUUUGCCAGCGAUUCGGUCGGGAACUCUAGGGAGACUGCCGGUGACAAACCGGAGGAAGGUGGGGACGACGUCAAGUCAUCAUGGCCCUUACGGGUAGGGCUACACACGUGCUACAAUGGCCGGUACAAUGGGUUGCAAAGCGGCGACGUGGAGCUAAUCUCAUAAAGCCGGUCUCAGUCCGGAUCGGAGUCUGC